rnacentral:lncRNA from 1 species
ACCACGUGUAGUAACAAUGGUCAAACUUUUAUGAAUUUAAACUUGUUAUGUCUUCAAAUUGGUAAUUUAUAUACCAUGUUUAUUAAAUGUUAUUAAUUAAGUUCAUUUUCCCUUUCUUAUUCCUUAAAAUGUCAAUGUCCUACCGCCUGGACUACGGUCAUAGGGAAAUACCCCAAAAUGGUACCCCAAGAGGGAAAUUCCAAAC